AUUGAACGCUGGCGGCAUGCCUUACACAUGCAAGUCGAACGGUAACGGGCCUUCGGGUGCCGACGAGUGGCGAACGGGUGAGUAAUACAUCGGAACGUGCCCGAUCGUGGGGGAUAACGAGGCGAAAGCUUUGCUAAUACCGCAUACGAUCUACGGAUGAAAGCAGGGGACCGCAAGGCCUUGCGCGGACGGAGCGGCCGAUGGCAGAUUAGGUAGUUGGUGGGAUAAAAGCUUACCAAGCCGACGAUCUGUAGCUGGUCUGAGAGGAUGAUCAGCCGCACUGGGACUGAGGCACGGCCCAGACUCCUACGGGAGGCAGCAGUGGGGAAUUUUGGACAAUGGGCGCAAGCCUGAUCCAGCCAUGCCGCGUGCAGGAUGAAGGCCUUCGGGUUGUAAACUGCUUUUGUACGGAACGAAAAGCCUUCUUUUAAUACAGGAGGGUCAUGACGGUACCGUAAGAAUAAGCACCGGCUAACUACGUG
rnacentral:rRNA from 1 species